AACUGUAACAGGAUCUUACCUUUAGGAUCUACGCAUGGUUUGAAGAACUGCGUCUGUCUCCUUGUACCAGAGGAUGCAUGGGGUCACCUGAGAAGUAUAGAUUUGAUAAAAGAUUAUAAGGCAAUCACACAAUGUUCAAAAUGUCCGAUGUGUUUAUUUUGCUGAUGUUCCCUGAGGUUUUCUGGGACUUGCUGUCUGUCGGCAGCAGCAGCAGAGAGCCAUUUGACUUUGCUGCAGGGGCCAGACAAGUUCACGGCCAGCGGGUCGGGGCCACAGGGGCCGCAAGGAAAUGAGGAUUAAAAGAUUAAUGAGGCCGCAUUAGCUCUGCACCAAUUAGGAUUCCACUCUGCCCCGACUCCUGCCUCCGCCCGGCUGAAAACUAAAGAGCCGUUUGACUUUUUACAACUGAUUAGGAUGAAGCUGGAUGGUUUGUUAGAGCACAGCAGGAGCAGCAAACUUGACCCUCUGAUGAUAUUUGUGUCUAUCACUCAUAUGCCUGUGUGCAUGUUGCUUCAAAAUGUCUUCAGAUUUUUCUUUUCAAAGUUAUAGAACUGCUAAAUAUGUUGCUGUGCAUGCUCUUUACUGGGCCUCCUAUAGCAGGACUAAUCCUGCAGGUAGAUGACCUUUGACCUCAAGCAAUUACUACAUAUCUUCUGUUGGGGUUUUUUUUAGAAAUUGGAUGAUGACUUGACACUCCCAAAGUUCAAUAUUUUGCAGGAAAAAACCCACAAACCUCAGAGAAAUGAUCUUUAGGGUUUCACUGCCCUCUUGUGGCGCAAGUAAUAAUAAUCAACAAUAUUAAAAUCCACAGAAAUGCAGAUAAAACUCUCAGAGGUAUGGAUUGUUUAUGAAAUGCACAGCUCAGUGUGGAUGGUUUGAUGUUUUAAAACAGCUGAGUAGAAAUUUAAAUUAUCACCAAAUUCAUUUACAAGACAACAUCAAUAAUUGUCAGUUAAUUUCAUCUCUCUGUUGUGAUCUGAAUUAAACUGACAAUCCAGCUUGAAGGUUGUUGCAAGCCUUUACAGCAACACACACAAGGCAUCGUCCGUUCACAGAUAUUUAUAUCCACUCCCAAAGAUGGGACGGGACAGGACGGGGCGGGUACACCUGGACUGUUCACUCAGUGGAAGCUCAGAGCCGCCGGCCAAGGCAGCAAAGUUAUCCUCCACCCUGGACGCCAACACACACAACACAAACGCACAAACAUACAAACACCAGUCCGUCAAGUUCAUCAGCACAGUCAGACAGGAGGAGCUGUCUGAAUACAUGUGUGAUUAUUACAUUUCAAAGUCUCCAAAUACACAGUCAGAGUUUUAUUGAGGAAGAUAUGACACUUACGCCUCUUUUCACUGGAAAACCUCAGUGUUUUCCUCCAGGCAGUUUCAGACAGGGUCCAGAAACUGCUUCACAGCUGGAUUUGCUUCCUGCCUGCAACUAAAGAACGACUCAGGUUUGUUCUGUCACUCAAACUCAGAAACAUUCACUCAACAGGGUUAGUAUCUCCAAACCUCUGAUCAUAAUGUGUUCACAUAGACAUGAGGGCACAGGUGACUUAUAUUUAUUUAUACUGUGCCACACUUAUAUCUUUUUGGGCCAAAACCUGUGACUGGAUGGACUUUUAUUGGAAAGUACAUGUGUGUUGACACAUCUACUGCACAGAUGUGCCACAUCUGUACCCAUUAUGGAGCAUAUCAGAGCCUUGUGUUGUGCUGAUUUUACACUCUGAUGCUUCUUGUGGGAAAAAGGAGGGAAAACAAACUGUUUUAUUUUCUUAACCACAGUUAGAUUAUAAUAUAGUGUUAUGGUCACCCUUCCUGAAAGAGCUUUGGAUACAAAAAUCAUUCCAUCUCACUGGAGUUUCAGUAGGAAAAUCACUAAUUACAGUAAGUAAAAUAAUUGUUUCGAACUUUCUGAUCUUAGUAAAACAAAUUAAACUUUUUUGUGCAGCUUCAAACCAAAAUCCCAACUUUAUACCUGCUCAGUAAUAAUCUAUGGUGCCACUAUCGACCCUAAGGGAAGCCCCGUAUCGGUCGAGCCUAAUUUAAACCCGUAUCCUGCAGACCACAACAGGUGCCCCCUCCUCCCCUCCUUUAAGCUCCACCUGUCUUCCCUUUUCCGCGGCGGGUUGGCGACCCAGAAAGCAGCCGUCAUUCAUUACAAAUGGUAUGCCGAUCCGUCGGGGGCCGGACGGCGCAAACCCCCUCGGUCACCGGAUCGGCGGCAGCUGCUCGGCCCCCCGGUGCUAUUUUCACCCUCAGGAUAAAGUGAUGUGCAGCAGCCGCCCGCCCGCACGGCCCCAGCAGCUCCAGUCAGACCAGAGCAGAGCCAGGAUGAAGUCCACAGGCAGCGAACGCACCGCGCAGCCCGACGGCUUCACCUCCGACCUGGACGACCUGGACAGCAGCAGCGACAGCUCCGACGGAAAGUCCACCGGCGGCUGCAGCCCGCGCAGAGAGCCGGGGGACCCCGCGGGGAAGGAGAUGGGGGGCGGCGGCGGCGGCUCUCGUGGCGCCGGCACGAGACGGAGGAGAAGGCGGAGACGGACCAGCGGCGGAGGUGGAAGAGGCGGCGGAGACGCGCGUCUGUCCGGAGUCAGUAAGCAGCGGCAGGCGGCCAACGCGCGGGAGCGGGACAGGACGCACAGCGUGAACACGGCCUUCACCGCGCUCCGCACGCUCAUUCCCACCGAGCCCGCCGACAGGAAGCUGUCCAAGAUAGAGACGCUGCGCCUGGCCUCCAGCUACAUCUCCCACCUGGCCAACGUGCUGCUGCUGGGGGAGGACUGCCGGGACGGACAGCCCUGCCUCCGCUACCAGAGCAUCCUGCACGGCACCGCCGCGCUCAGCGCGCCCUCCCUGCGGCCCAUCUGCACUUUCUGCCUCAGCAACCAGAGGAAACUGUCUCCAUCCAGGAAGACACCUGGACACCUGUUCAGGCUGCAGCAUCUUUAUGUUGGAAAUAGAUUUUCAAGUGCUGAGUUUGCACGAGGAGACGUGGUUCAAAGAUGAUUUGGGGUCACCAGAGUGACACCUGUUUCUCCACUGAUUGACAACACAAAAUGAAAACAUGCUGUGGUGCCUUCACAGGUUUAAAAUAAGUGUAAGUCCCUGACGCAGCUGCAGACUGGAUCUGAAAGAAAUCUGGCACAGCUCAGAGAUGGAGGGAAGCACUCAGCUGCUGUGUGAAGCGAAGCGGCUCCAGGACAGACCAGGAGUCCACUUUAAUGUUGUUUACAUGUAGACACGUGUUGUAAAGAUUCACCUGUAGGACUUUGUACAUAUAUAAAUAUAUUUAUUUUUGGAUUAGACUAGAAAACCGAAGACAGAACUAACACUGAAAAGCACUUUCUGUUCAAGGCCGUGUGCUUCUGAACCUCUGUGUUUUGGUUGAGCUGUAACCUGAGCCGAUGUGUAAAGUUGCACCUGACGGGGGCUAUUUUGGUCCCACGAAUAGUACAAACCCCCAACCUCCCAACACCCCCUCACCCCAUGUCUGACUCCUAAAAAAAAAAAAAACUUGUCGCCUUUAGUCACAUGAAGGAAACUGAAGAGCUGCUACUGCAGCGGUCGCUGUCAGUUGAGUGGUGUUAAUGCUGCCUUCAAGUGCGGUCAGAAACGUCGCAAUUAACUGGUCUAUUACCUCUAGUGGUGAACGGCAGGAACUGCAAAAACAGAGACAGGACACAGCACGUUAAAGCAUUGCAUAUCGACAUCUCAGGAAUCAGAAAAGUGCCCCCCAUCUUUGUUUGUAAUAUCUGACACAAGGCGCAAAUACCCUGCAACAACAGUUUGCACUAUUUUUUUUGGGGGGGGGGCUUCUACAAAAUCAGGGAGAUCAUGCAUAUGUUAGUAACUUUGGAUAAACUCAGGGGAAGAUUUCACUUAGUUUUAUGUUUAAAAAUGGUUCCCUGGUUGAGUCUGCUACCAUAGUUUUUUGUACAUAUGCGAAUUAAAGAGCUGUCGCUAUUUUGCACACCCAGAUAAGUAUGGAUUUCUAGUGAGAUCAGGCUCAGUCACAUCUCCCACAGCAUGAGUUAUGGAGCCUCAUCUGAAGUGAAGUCACAUCACUUUUCAGUCAGUUUGCAAAUAAAACAAUCACAUCCUGCAAAGGACAAAGGAAAAGACCAAAAAAAUCUAAUAAAACUGCAAAGGGAAAACGUUCUGUGGCAGCAAACACUUGAAAUUACACUGACUGGUAGGCUGGAAAAAUGCAGACAAAAACAAUGUGCAAAACAUUUUUCCCAGGGAGGAAACAACUUUUAACUCUUUUGUUUGUCAAAAGUUCUGGUUUUGACCUGAAUUCAAGCUGAAAUGUUGAGAUAAAUUUAUUUGCAGUGUGGUGAAAUGUUUACUUUUGCAUUGUUGCACAAUCUCUGUAUCACUUUAAAAACACAAGACUGAUGUUUUGUGUGCACAUGAACGUGGGAUGCCCCGAUACAUAAAGUGCCUUCUGCACUUAUUUGGAAAAAUGUAUAAAUAUAAUCCUUCUACAACCAACUGGAUCCCCUGAUAUGAAUUCUACAGCAAACACAGACAACAACUAUCACUGGGAAAUGUUGCACACUACCUCAGACCUAUGUUUUAAAUAUGAAGGCCUACCUCUAAAUCUAAUGUGUAACAUGACUGUAUAAAAAAAAAAAAAAAGUACUUGAAUACCUGACAACUGUGUCCUUUGCACAUCGCAAUUACCGAGAAGCUGCUUGAAGAUAAAUGUAUUUUUGUACAAUAAAAACAAAAAUAUCAAGCUGUCCUCUUUUUGAUGCGUUCAGUGUCAUCUACAGUGUUCGUUUUAUGCAAGAUAGAAAUUUCAAAAGUGGUAUUCAAAUGCCAAAAUAUCAAACGUACAAAUGAUUAUAAUUUAAGUUUGUUUCAGCCAGUGUGGUGUUAAAAAGUGACAGAAAAAUCACGAGCAACAAACAAAAUCUGUUAAAUUCUUCACUCCUAGAGUUCAUAAACUGUAAUAGGUUUAAGGUUUUCCUGUUAUCAAAUGACUCCAUGCAUAAGAUUGGUGUUAAUUAUAGCUAAAAAAAAAUUUGUAUAUUUCUGUAGAUUUAAAAAAAACCUGAGUAAAAAGCCAAAGAACAAAGUAAAAACCAUUUCAAUAAUCUUUAUUUCAUAAAAAAGUCAAUCGGUUUAUAUCAGAUUAAAGAAAGUAGAAACCAAUAAUAAUCAGUUAGCUGGCGAGGCAUCUUACAGGGGUGCGUGUCUUCUGACAGACUGACCAGAGUGACCUCGACACGCGGUACAGGUUUACCCGAAAGUCAAGAAAGGAGGUGAAGUUUAAGACCGAACAGGAGCCAAAACAUGAGCUGGGCAAAAUAAAAAGUGAAACGGGAGAGGGGAGGGAAACAAAAAAGAAAA